rnacentral:rRNA from 1 species
UGGGGAAUCUUGCGCAAUGGGGGAAACCCUGACGCAGCGACGCCGCGUGCGGGAUGAAGGCCUUCGGGUUGUAAACCGCUUUCAGCAGGGACGAGGCCUUAUGGUGACGGUACCUGCAGAAGAAGCUCCGGCUAAAUACGUGCCAGCAGCCGCGGUAAUACGUAUGGAGCAAGCGUUAUCCGGAUUCAUUGGGCGUAAAGCGCUCGUAGGCGGCUCUUCAAGCGGGACCUCUAACCCCGGGGCUCAACCUCGGGCCGGGUUCCGAACUGGAGGGCUCGAGUGCGGUAGAGGCAGGCGGAAUUCCCGGUGUAGCGGUGGAAUGCGCAGAUAUCGGGAAGAACACCGAUGGCGAAGGCAGCCUGCGGGGCCGGCACUGACGCUGAGGCGCGAAAGCUAGGGGAGCGAACAGG